rnacentral:rRNA from 1 species
AUUGAACGCUGGCGGCAGGCCUAACACAUGCAAGUCGAGCGGAGCGGCGGACGGGUGAGUAAUGCAUAGGAAUCUGCCUGGUAGAGGGGGAUAACGUACGGAAACGGGCGCUAAUACCGCAUACUAUCAGAUGAGACUAGGUCGGAUUAGCUAGUUGGUGGGGUAAAGGUCUACAAAGGCGACGAUCCGUAACUGGUCUUAGAGGAGGAUCAGUCACACUGGAACUGAGACACGGUCCAGACUCCUACGGUAGGCAGCAGUGGGGAAUAUUGGCAAAUGGGCGAAAGCCUGAUCCAGCCAGGCCGCGUGGGUGAAGAAGGUCUUCGGAUUGUAAAGCACUUUAAGUUGGGAGGCGUUACCAACAGAAUAAGCACCGGCUAACUUCGUGCCAGCAGCCGCGGUAAUAC